ACAUUCGAUUUAUGAUCAAACAGGCAUUCAACGCUUGACAUCAUCUUAAGGACUAAAAUAUACUUGAAAAUGGCGUCUGAUGCUGAAGCUUUACCCAACACUGGAAAUAGAAAUUUAAACACCAAUAAUGAAUCUGAUUACAAGUUGCAAAUCUUCCAGUCUUCUCUGAAUGUGCUGGCGCAUGUUUUGAUCGGAGCCUCAGUGAUGUCGAGUCUACUGUUCGCGUUUAGAAGCGGUUUGCCUCUGAAUGCCACUUCGCUGCACAUUGUUUUAUGUGUAAUCGGGUAUCACCUUCUUAUGGCCCAAGCAAUCCUUAGCUUGAGCGACAGCAAUGGCUGGUCUUCUAAGUUGAGGCUGGUGGACCGGAGACGAGCUCACUGGAUCCUCCAGAUCCUCGGCUCUGGACUGGCCAUCAUCGGUAGCUUCAUCAAGAUUGUGGCAAGAGUGCCCAUUGGAAUACUUUACACGGAAAAUUUGCACUAGUCGCCCUGGUCUUCACUUCCUUCAGCCUCGUGAAUGGCGUGGCCUCCCUCUACGGGGUCGAGUGGCGCCGGUUCCUCAACAUGAACAUUUCCAAGUUAACUCACGUCUGCUUCGGCAUCGUCGCCUUCGCGUCCGCCACCAUCACGCUCUGCUACGGUUUCGACAAGUUCCCCUUCAGGACCUGGGCCUCCACCCCAGUAGCUGAUGCCCUCAUUGCAGUCACUGCCGUGUACGCCACAAUUAUCAUCAUAAACCCUGCGAUCACCUUCUAUAGGAAAUCUAGGGUGGUGUUUAAAAAUGCCACGUCAUGAGCGCUGUGUUUGUAAUGUGUGCGGCAUAGAAUCUCAAAAUAUAUAAUUUAACCGGAAAGUUCUUGUUUAGAUCAAGAAAGUUCUUGACAUAUCAGAGUUACAAGGAGAGCCAUGGUACUGGCCAUGGGGGUAUUUCGCUCAGAUAUCGUAUUCCAAAUGUAGAGAUCCGCCGAAAGAAGAAACUUUUCGAUGUCGCAAAGCGGGUCACCGAACUGAAGUGGAAGUGGGCAAGACAUUUUUGUCAUCGGACUACCUGUUUGAUGGUUGACAAGGUUGCGGGGCAACUGUGGAUAUGAACGGCACAAGACCAAACCAAACAGUGGAUGAUAGAGGGUCGAAAAUAAUGGUGAUGAUGUGUAAAAUAACUCAUGUGUAAUGUUUAAUUUACUUUUAGGUAU